rnacentral:tRNA from 1 species
AAUUAGUCGAGUGGUCGUAGCGCCAGCCUCUGACUCACGAGGUUAGGCAUUCGAUUCCCACUU